AGGGGAAAUCUGCCAGGGUUAGAGGUGAAAUCUGUCAGGGUUAGAGGUGAAUUCUGCCAGGGUUAGAGGUGAAAUCUGUCAGGGUUAGAGGUGAAUUCUGCCAGGGUUAGAGGUGAAUUCUGUCAGGGUAAGAGGGGAAUUCUGUCAGGGUUAGAGGUGAAAUCUGUCAGGGUUAGAGAGGUGAAUUCUGUCAGGUUUAGAGGUGAAUUCUGCCAGGGUUAGAGGUGAAAUCUGUCAGGGUUAGAGGUGAAUUCUGUCAGGGUUAGAGGUGAAAUCUGUCAGGGUUAGAGGUGAAUUCUGCCAGGGUUAGAGGUGAAUUCUGUCAGGGUUAGAGGUGAAUUCUGUCAGGGUUAGAGGGGAAUUCUGUCAGGGUUAGAGGUGAAUUCUGUCAGGGUUAGAGGGGAAUUCUGUCAGGGUUAGAGGGGAAUUCUGUCAGGGUUAGAGGUGAAUUCUGUCAGGGUUAGAGGGGAAUUCUGUCAGGGUUAGAGGUGAGUUCUGCCAGGGUUAGAGGGGAAUUCUGUCAGGGUUAGAGGUGAGUUCUGCCAGGGUUAGAGGUGAAAUCUGUCAGGGUUAGAGGUGAAUUCUGUCAGGGUUAGAGGUGAAUUCUGUCAGGGUUAGAGGUGAAAUCUGUCAGGGUUAGAGAGGUGAAAUCUGUCAGGGUUAGAGGUGAAUUCUGUCAGGGUUAGAGGUGAAAUCUGUCAGGGUUAGAGAGGUGAAAUCUGUCAGGGUUAGAGAGGUGAAAUCUGUCAGGGUUAGAGAGGUGAAAUCUGUCAGGGUUAGAGGUGAAAUCUGUCAGGGUUAGAGGUGAAAUCUGUCAGGGUUAGAGAGGUGAAAUCUGUCAGGGUUAGAGAGGUGAAAUCUGUCAGGGUUAGAGAGGUGAAAUCUGUCAGGGUUAGAGGUGAAAUCUGUCAGGGUUAGAGAGGUGAAAUCUGUCAGGGUUAGAGAGGUGAAAUCUGUCAGGGUUAGAGGUGAAUUCUGCCAGGGUUAGAGGUGAAAUCUGUCAGGGUUAGAGAGGUGAAAUCUGUCAGGGUUAGAGAGGUGAAAUCUGUCAGGGUUAGAGGUGAAAUCUGUCAGGGUUAGAGAGGUGAAAUCUGUCAGGGUUAGAGGUGAAUUCUGUCAGGGUUAGAGGUGAAUUCUGUCAGGGUUAGAGGUGAAAUCUGUCAGGGUUAGAGAGGUGAAUUCUGUCAGGGUUAGAGGUGAAUUCUGUCAGGGUUAGAGGUGAAAUCUGUCAGGGUUAGAGGUGAAAUCUGUCAGGGUUAGAGGUGAAUUCUGCCAGGGUUAGAGGUGAAUUCUGUCAGGGUUAGAGGUGAAUUCUGUCAGGGUUAGAGGUGAAUUCUGUCAGGGUUAGAGGUGAAAUCUGUCAGGGUUAGAGGUGAAUUCUGUCAGGGUUAGAGGCAGUAAAGGAGUCGUUAUAAGGUCGAACUGUUGGCUAAAAUGCAUGCAUAUAUAAGCGAGGCUACAGUACCAGAGAUCAUGCUUCUGACAUGGAUGGAUGCCUCCCAGGCAUUAUCUUAACA